rnacentral:misc_RNA from 1 species
UCCCGGUUGGCCCGGGCAGUCUCGUGUGAAAAAUACAACACACGACAAGGGUUGCGCUCGUUGCGGGACUUAACCCAACAUCUCACGACACGAGCUGACGACGGCCAUGCAGCACCUGUCACUAGGUUCCCGAAGGCACAGCCCUGUUUCCAGGGCUUUCCUAGGAUGUCAAGCCUCGGUAAGGUUCUUCGCGUAUCGUCGAAUUAAACCCCAUGCUCCACCGCUUGUGCGGGUCCCCGUCAAUUCCUUUGAGUUUUAAGCUUGCGCUCGUACUCCCCAGGCGGCAGGCUUAUCGCGUUAGCUUCUCAGCCCAAGGGGUCGAUACCUCAAACUAAUAGCCUGCAUCGUUUACGGCGUGGACUAC